AGAGUUUGAUCCUGGCUCAGGACGAACGCUGGCGGCGUGCGUAAUGCAUGCAAGUCGAACGCAGCAGCUUCGGCUGGCUGCGUGGCGAACGGCUGAGGAACACGUGGGUGACCUGCCCCAGAGUGGGGGAUACCCCGUCGAAAGACGGGAUAAUCCCGCAUACGCUCUACGGAGGAAAGCCCCUACGGGCGCUCUGGGAGGGGCCUGCGGCCCAUCAGGUUGUUGGUGUGGUAACGGCGCACCAAGCCACUGACGGGUACCCGGUCUGAGAGGACGGCCGGGCAGACUGGGACUGCGACACGGCCCAGACUCCUACGGGAGGCAGCAGCAAGGAAUUUUCCCCAAUGGGCGCAAGCCUGAGGGAGCAACGCCGCGUGGAGGACGACGGCCUUCGGGUUGUAAACUCCUUUCGGGUGGGACGACUCCGACGGUACCACCAGAAGCAGCCCCGGCUAACUCUGUGCCAGCAGCCGCGGUAAGACAGAGGGGGCAAGCGUUGUCCGGAGUUACUGGGCGUAAAGGGCGCGGAGGCGGUCUGCGGCGUCGGCGCUGAAAGCGCCCCGCUUAACGGGGCGAGGCGUGCCGAUACGCGCAGACUUGAGGCGAGCAGAGGGUGGUGGAAUUCCGGGUGGAGCGGUGAAAUGCGUAGAGAUCCGGAGGAACGCCAGUGGGGAAGCCGGCCACCUGGGCUCGGCCUGACGCUGCGGCGCGACCGCGUGGGGAGCAAACCGGAUUAGAUACCCGGGUAGUCCACGCCGUAAACGAUGCCAGCUCGGCGUGUGGCGCACGGUCGUGCGCUGCGUGCCUUAGCUCACGCGAUAAGCUGGCCGCCUGGGGACUACGAGCGCAAGCUAGUCUG
rnacentral:rRNA from 1 species